AAUCAUUUCCGGCGCCGCAUUUUAUACUUGCUCUCACGUCACCUGUGGAUUUUCGUUCUUUCUUUUUUUCAAGUUUCAAGAUAUUUCAUAUCCUUCUCUGAAAUCUAGUCGGAACCAUGAUUCCUAACUUCAUCAAGGGACCUCUCUUUCUUUUGUCACAAUCCACCGUCCUUUGAGUUCUUUCGGUGCCUACUAAAUGAGCCUCACGGACGGCUCUGCUGCGUGGGCAUUGCUCUCUCAAUAUUUUUCAUAUCCUUGUGAACUGAAAGCUAAUCAGAACCAUGAUGAGUAUCUUCAAGAGACCUCUCUUUCUUGUGUCAAAAUACACCAUAGUUUUGUUUCUGAUCCUUGCUGCCGGUGUUACUCUUGUGAUUGCAACCUCCAAGCAACCAAAAUUCCGAGCAAGCAGCAUGUAUUCUUCACAAAGUAAUAGUCCCGUUCAGCCAUCAGGACCUAAUCCUUGCAGUUUCCUGCCUGGAUCGGGCCACUGCAAACCUCCCAAGUGAUUCAUGUUUCAUGCAUAAUAUUGUCCACUCGCGGAUAUAUAUCAUGUCGAUGAUGGAAGUGGAAAUCACGAGCACAAGUGGGCAAUAGAGAGUACUGUACUGGCAAGGAGAGUUGAUAUAAUGAAUCCUUCUGUAUGCAAAUUAAUGAUCAUUAAUAAAUAUUUCUUUCCCUAA